rnacentral:rRNA from 1 species
CUCACGGAGGNNGUGUNUUGGGGGNAAANCGCNGAUGCAGCGACGCCNCGUGAGGGAUGACGGCCUUCGGGUUGUAAACCUCUUUCAGCAGGGACGAAGCGCAAGUGACGGUACCUGCAGAAGAAGCACCGGCUAACUACGUGCCAGCAGCCGCGGUAAUACGUAGGGUGCAAGCGUUGUCCGGAAUUACUGGGCGUAAAGAGUUCGUAGGCGGUUUGUCGCGUCGUUUGUGAAAACCAGCAGCUCAACUGCUGGCUUGCAGGCGAUACGGGCAGACUUGAGUACUGCAGGGGAGACUGGAAUUCCUGGUGUAGCGGUGAAAUGCGCAGAUAUCAGGAGGAACACCGGUGGCGAAGGCGGGUCUCUGGGCAGUAACUGACGCUGAGGAACGAAAGCGUGGGUAGCGAACAGGAUUAGAUACCCUGGUAGUCCACGCCGUAAACGGUGGGCGCUAGGUGUGGGUUCCUUCCACGGAAUCCGUGCCGUAGCUAACGCAUUAAGCGCCCCGCCUGGGGAGUACGGCCGCAAGGCUAANNNGNAAAANUUUUUUU